rnacentral:rRNA from 1 species
UAAGUGCUGAAAGCAUCUAAGCACGAAACUUGCCCCGAGAUGAGUUCUCCCUGACCCUUUAAGGGUCCUGAAGGAACGUUGAAGACGACGACGUUGAUAGGCCGGGUGUGUAAGCGCAGCGAUGCGUUGAGCUAACCGGUACUAAUGAACCGUGAGGCUUAACCUUACAACGCCGAAGGUGUUU